CCUACGGGUGGCAGCAGUGAGGAAUAUUGGUCAAUGGGCUGGCGCCUGAACCAGCCAAGUCGCGUGAGGGAAGACUGUCCUAUGGAUUGUAAACCUCUUUUGGCGGGGAGCAAUGCCUGGCACGUGUGCCCGGAGUGAGAGUACCCGCAGAAUAAGCAUCGGCUAACUCCGUGCCAGCAGCCGCGGUAAUACGGAGGAUGCGAGCGUUAUCCGGAUUUAUUGGGUUUAAAGGGUGCGUCGGCGGAUUGAUAAGUUAGAGGUGAAAUGUCCGGGCUUAACUCGGGCACUGCCUCUAAUACUGUUGUUCUAGAGAGUAGGUGCGGUAGGCGGAAUGUAUGGUGUAGCGGUGAAAUGCUUAGAGAUCACACAGAACACCGAUUGCGAAGGCAGCUUACCAACGUAUAUCUGACGUUGAGGCACGAAAGCGUGGGGAGCAAACAGGAUUAGAUACCCGGGUAGUC
rnacentral:rRNA from 1 species